GCCCCCCCAAAAAAACCUGAAUUCCAACCCCCAACCAUCUGUCCUACAUCAGCCCCUCCCAAAAAACCUGAAUUCCAACCCCCAACCAUCUGUCCUACAUCAGCAGCCCCAAAAAACCUGAAUUCCAACCCCCAACCGCCAUCUGUCCUACAUCAGCAGCCCCAAAAAACCUGAAUUCCAACCCCCAACCACCAUCUGUCCUACACCAGCCACCCCAAAAAACCUGAAUUCCAGCCCCCAACCACCAUCUGUCCUACACCAGCCGCCCCAAAAAUCCUGAAUUCCAGCCCCCAACCACCAUCUGUCCUACACCAGCCACCCCAAAAAACCUGAAUUCCAGCCCCCAACCACCAUCUGUCCUACACCAGCCGCCCCAAAAAUCCUGAAUUCCAGCCCCCAACCACCACCUGUCCUACAUGAGCUGCCCCAAAAAACCUUAAUUCCAGCCCCCAGCAACCCACUUCUCCUAGAUCCAGUGCUCUCCUGCCAAGAUAUCUUAAAUCCAACCCGCACCUCUAAAAACCCACCUCUACUAGAGCAAGCCCCCAACAACCCACCUCACCUACAUCCAGCCCUCACCCCACCCACUUAGGAUUCCCAUUAAAUCCUACUCCCACCUGGCCUCCUAAAGGCCCUCUUCCAGAUCCAGCCCCCUAACAAAUCACCUGGCCUACACCCAUCCACUCCUCUCAAUGGCCCCGUUUCCACUGUCAAUCCACCUGCCUCUUCUUGAUUUUCGAUAGUGGAUAAUUUACAUUAAGGAUAUGAAAGGUUAACUGGUUCACUGGCUAAUCAGUAAGCAUCACCCUAAACAGACGCCAUAGCCGUGUAAGCACAGAAUCCAUUGUGGAUCCAAUUGAGCAUGAAAGCAUUAUGAAGAUGAUGUUACCCUUUGUGUGCUUAAUGCUGGAGUAUGCCCAGAGAGUAUCCAGGAUCUGCUGGUACAAGGAAGGAUCUCAGGAGGCCAUGAACAUACUCUUCAGCGAAGCCCUUGAGUUGAUAGACUUGCAAGUGCCACUGGCAUCAAUCUUCUGAACAUAGUGAAAUGCUGGUUCUGGUGCCAUCAGACAAGCCCAGACUGGUGAGACUGUAUUAUUAUGUAGGCAUGGGAAAAUCAGCAGGGGCUACAAAACUUUCACAUGCGUAAGACCUCUUUUAUGGAAGUUUGUGAAUUGCCUUUCCCUGCCCUGAAGUACAAGAAUACCAGAAUGAGACCAGCUUUGACAGUGGAGAAGCAAGUGGCAAUUGCAACCCCAGACAGCUACCGGUCAGUUGGGAAUCAAUUCGGAAUGGGGAAUUCUACAGUGGGAGCUGUUGUGAUCCAAGUAGCCAUGGUAAUCAAUACCCUUCUGCUAUGGAGGGUAGUGACUCUGGGAAAUGUGGAGAACAUAGUGGAGGACUUUGCCACACUGAAGUUCCCUAACUGUAGUGGGGGUGAUAGAUUGAAUGCACAUCCCCAUCUUGGCACCCGACCACCUUGCAAAGGAGUACAUAAACUUCAAGGGGUACUUUUUGAUGGUGCUGCAGGAGCUAAUGGAUCACAAGGGUCAUUUCACUCACAUCCAUGUAGGAAGGUUGGGAAAGGAGCAUGACACUUGUAUCUUUAGGAACUCCUGCCUCUUCAGCAAGCUGCAAACGAACUUUUUUCCCAGUCCAGAAAAUUACAACUGGAGAUAUUGCUAUGUCAGUAGUGAUCCUUGGUGACCCAGCCUACCCCAAACUCCCGUGGCUCAUUAAGCUGUACACAGACAGCCUGGAUCUCAGUAAAGAGCAGUUCAACUACAGGAUGAGCAAGUGCAGAAUGGUGUUAGAAUGUGCUUUGGGGCAUUUAAAGGGAAGGUUCUGCAGUCUACGAACUAGGUUAGACUUCAGCUAAAGUAACAUUCCCAUUGUGGUGGCAGCCUGUUGUGUGUGCCACAAUAUUUGGGAGUGUAAGGGGAUGGAAUGACGAGGCACAGCACCUAGCCAAGGAUUUUUAGCAGCCAGAUACCAGAGAAAUAAGGGCUCCUCUGAGAGCUUUAUGGAGUUGUACAGAGAGGGGCAGUGGAAAUCAGAAAGGCUUUGAAAGAGUUUUAUGACUGGCCAGUUUUGAGAGUCAUGAAUAUUGCUCUCAGCAAGGUGCCCCUGCAGUCAGUGUGCUUGCCCUUCAAACACAAGCAAUAAAGAAACUUAUUCAGAAAUCAUGCAUUUUUAUUUAGGGAACACAACAGGAACAGACAAGAAGUCCAAGGUGGGAGCUUUGGUGCGAAGAGGCGAUCACAAUUGUGAGAUCAGCAUUUUGCUUCAUGACACAUCCCUGGAGGUUGAGUGUGGGGCUGCCCUUGACUCCCCCCACCCUCCUGUGUCAUAGGGCCCCUGGGAGAGGAGACUAGGGAACUCGGUGAGGAGGAAACAUUGGUGCACAGGGCCUGGAGGGGUGCCUAUUCAGGUAGGCAUCCUGGAAAGCUGCCAUGCAGUCCAUCACAGCCACCACGGAUGCCACCACUCUCUCCUGGUGCUUCACUUCCAGGUCCCUGCAUGCUCUCCUUUCCUCACGCUCUGCUCACAUCUCUCCCAGAAGCAGAUUUCUCCACUCGCUUACAUGAUUCCUAUCCAAGCUGGUAGAUUGCAUUUGCUCCUUGAACAUCUCUUUUCCAGCCCAUGUUCACUAGUGGAUUUGUGCCAGCCUGACUACUGGCAGGGCCAGGAGAG